AUCAGGAACUCUGCUUGUAGGGACCCUUCAUAGCUCAGCUCAGUGAGUCUAUGGAGGCAGCAAAGACCAACCCAGCAACCAUGCCUGGCAGUCUGAGUCAAAGACCAAAGAAAACAGUUUGUGGACGGUAUGUUCUGGAAGAAUCUAGACGAGAAAGAGGUUGGUUGGACUGUGGAAGUUGGGGAAGUAGAAGCAGAAGUUGGUUUUGUUUAAUUGGCAUUGUGUCAUUUUCUCCUUGAAAGAAAAUCGCAUUUCCAGUUAAGCCAUCCUUCUUGGCCCCCUUACUGUCAGGAGGGGUAGUUCUGGCCAACGAAAUAGGUAGAAAGGAUGAGUAUCAGUUUCAAGGCUGGCCAUGAGACUGCGUGGGGUCCUCCAUGCUUUCUCCCAUGCCUGUGGUGAACUAGGCUUAGAGUGUGGAUGAUGGUAGCAUGUAAAAAUGGGAGGAAUCUGGGUUCCAGGGUGAGAAGAACGUCCUCUGCACUGCAGGACGAAGAGGCAAUACAUUUAGAUUGAGCUAAAUUACUGUGAGUGUGGGGUUGUUUGUUAGAGCAGCUCGUGGUACUUAUCCUGACUAAUACGGCAUAGAGGACCUGAGACCAGAGCAGGCUCUGAAAAGGUGAAUACCAUUUGGACACAGGGAGAGGAAGGAAAGGACAUUCCAGAGGGAAGGAACAGUGGAAACAAAGGGGUGGCAGCUAGAACAGGUGCGAUAUGCUUGCACCCUAAAGAGAAAUUCAGUUUGAUGGGAACUGAGAGCUAUGCUGGGUAGGAGAUGAGACCAAAAAUACUCCAACCAGUGGUGUACUGGAUCCAGCUCAUACCAGCUCAUGAGAGCCAAUUGUUUUCCCACCUCUGUGUUCAGUGACAGACAUCACUUUGGUAGCUUGAAAUUGGCCAUGGUGGGAGUAGUUACACCAUGGCAACCAGUAAACACUCUGAGCCAGGGCUUUUUUUUCCUGUGGUUAAACACUUCUCAGCAUGCUACUGGCUGCAACCCACAUGCAAAUGAGUCCUGCCAAUCUGUGAGGCAGUGGAAAGACCAAAGACCCUGUAGCCAGUUCUAAGACUUGCCUCACCCCUUCUGCGCUGCGUGGCCUUGGGCAAGUCAACGUUGCCUCUCGGAGCCUCACUUUCAUCAUCUGCAAAAAAGUACCUCCCUCAAAGGUGGAUGUGAAGAUAAAAAUGAAUGAGCUCGUGUACAUGGAGGCCUGUCUGCAUCCUUUCAGCAUCACCAUUGCUGCACACGUGACUCUCCUAUUGGUCUACCUUCCCUUUCUGUCUGGCGCUGGUCAACAACUGGAACCCACUCCAAACGUUGUCAUGCCAACUCAACAUACUGGAAAGAGCAGGGGACAUGGAAUUGUCCCAACCCUCACCUCAGCCUGAUUUUGGAGAUAGCUUCUCACCACCCCAGGUCACCCCAGCAUCUCCCUGGUUGCUCUGUUGAAACUGGACCCUGUGAAACUGGACCCUGUGGGGCAAGAGCUGAAGCAGGAAGGUCAGUGAGUGUAAGCGAGUGAGUGGGACCCUGCGAGGGCUUCCCAGGGUGGCCCCCAGUCCUAUCUUCCACCUGCCUUUUGAUCUAUAGAAAAACUUUAGUCAAAGAACCAAUUUAAUCAGAGAAGUGAGAAAGUACAGAGAAAAAAGAAAACAGUAAUAAAAAUUCAGCCAUUGAACAAAGUCAAGGACCUUCAGUUCGUCGUCGAAGGUUAUAGAGAAUAUUCUGAGCCACGUCCUUGGAGCUGUUUUGCAGGUGCUGAAGCCCCCACCAGGUGGAAGAAGCCCACUGGAUGCCGCCCACAAGCACGUAGACCCCAGACCAGUUGGAACCAGAAGGUUGAUGACUCUGACUCCCAAUGACCUCACCACCCACCAGUCAGGAAAGUGUCCACAAGCUGAUCACGCCCUGCUCCUCAAACACUCUAAGACUCCUCACUACCCCCUCUAAGGGGGCACACCAUCCUUGAGGCACUAGCCUGCUGUGUUCCCCUUUGCCUGGCAAUUAAAACUCCUUUUUCUGUUUCCUCCAAUUCUGUCUCCAUGUUUCUAUUUGGCGUUGGUGUACAGUGCAGCCGAGAUUUCGUCAACAUGAGGAGGCUCCUGCACAAGGCCGGGUGCGAGAGAGUAGUGGGUCAGACCAGGGUGGUAGCAGAGGAGGAGGUGAGAACAGGUUGAGUUCUGGAAAUAUUUUAUUUCCAGGGUAGGGCUGACUGGAUCUGCCAACAGACAAGGUAUGUAGCGUGAGAGAAAGAGAGGAGUCGGGGAGGAUCCAGGGACAGCUGGAGCGACUGGA